rnacentral:misc_RNA from 1 species
AAAUAAGAGAAAUCUUGUGGAAACAGACAGACAAGUCUAGAAACCCGGGAAAAUCACUUCCAAAACCUUCCAGUGACUCCACCUGGUGGCUGGCGUAAGAACCACCGCAACCCUCUCUCCCUACCCCUGUAUCACUAUAUAUGCACAGCUUUCAUAUCUGUGCUCUUGAUAUCAGAACCAGAAAGAAUCAAAUCCCAAAACAUCUACCAAAAAAAAGAGCAUUGUGUAGAAUCUGUUUUUGGUUUUAAUUCUGAGCUUGGUGAAAUCAAAUGGCAGACGUGCAGAUGAGGGCGACUGAGACCGAGACCUUCGCUUUUCAGGCCGAGAUUAACCAGCUUCUCAGUCUUAUCAUCAAUACUUUCUAUAGUAAUAAAGAGAUCUUCCUUCGAGAACUUAUCAGCAAUGCCUCUGAUGCUCUGGACAAAAUCAGAUUCGAGAGCUUGACAGACAAGAGCAAGCUUGAUUCCCAACCCGAGCUCUUUAUAAGGAUUGUGCCUGAUAAGGUUAACAAGACCCUUUCUAUCAUCGAUAGUGGUAUUGGGAUG